UUUAAUCCAUUUUAUUUUCUUAAUUCCAUUUUAUUUCAAAAAUCAUAUCUCUUUCAUUUUAAUUCCAAAAAUUAUGGGACCAAUUGCAUUAGUCUCCAAAUAAUUUUAUUUCAAAAAUCAUAUCUCUUUCAUUUUAAUUCCAAAAAUUAUGGGACCAAUUGCAUUAGUCUCCAAAUAAAUUCUAGUUUCUAUUUCUGAUUUUUAAUAUUUUUUAUUUUGUCAUUUGAUAGUUUUUGUGAAUU
rnacentral:lncRNA from 1 species